rnacentral:lncRNA from 1 species
GUUGGUGUUCUAACCAAUAAUCACUCAAUCGCUAUUACGAUUCAUUUUUCGAGUGAUCAAUAUAUCCAAAGAAUGCCUAAGUGCCGCCCACAUUGGGCUAUGCUUUAUCGUUUGUCGGUAAUCCGAUAAAUGAGCCGAAGCAUUGUACUUUGUCGUUGUCGAUAAUUCGAUACACGAGUUGAAGUACUAUACUUUGUCGUUUGUCAUUUUGAUAAAUGAGUUGAAGUAUUGCACUUGGUCAUUCAUUGUGAGAAUUUGAUCUCGGGAAAUUAUCGUAACUGCUGUAUUGAUCAUUAACCCGGUUUUUUGUGAAAUUCGUUAAGGUUCGAAUCUCAUGACUACCGUUAAGGUUUGAUUUGGGUUUUACACCAAUACGUAUUCUAUUCUGUUAAACCACCAAAAACACUCCCAACUACACCCUUACAAUCAAACAAACUAUUAAAUCAUCAGAAGAUCCAGAAUAAUAAAGUACAAGCUUAAUUAUCGGGAAAAGUAGAAUCAAGAAGUUUGUUAACUCAAUCCUGCAUGAUGAUUUGUAAUUACAAUAGAUUGGAGUAAGGAUUGGAUCCGACACUAAAAGACUUCAAGAAGUGGCUUAUUUUAUUAAUUAAAUCAACUUAAGAAAUAUUGUUUUCAUUAAAAGCUACCUUUGUAAAACUUGGAAUUUAGUCCAUCCAUUUAAAUAAAAUCCGGUGU